rnacentral:rRNA from 1 species
UACGAAGGGGGCUAGCGUUGUUCGGAUUUACUGGGCGUAAAGCGCACGUAGGCGGAUCUUUAAGUCAGGGGUGAAAUGCCGAGGCUCAACUUCGGAACUGCCUUUGAUACUGGGGAUCUUGAGUUCGGGAGAGGUGAGUGGAAUUGCGAGUGUAGAGGUGAAAUUCGUAGAUAUUCGCAGGAACACCAGUGGCGAAGGCGGCUCACUGGCCCGAUACUGACGCUGAGGUGCGAAAGCGUGGGGAGCAAACAGG